rnacentral:tRNA from 1 species
GGAGGAGUGGCAGAGUGGUCGAAUGCAGCAUCCUGCUAAGAUGCUGACUCCGCAAGGGGUCCGUGGGUUCGAAUCCCACCUCCUCCG